GUCUACGGCCAUGCCAUCCUGUAUGUGCCCGAUUUUGUCUGAUCUCGGAAGCUAAGCAAGGUUGGGCCUGGUUAGUACUUAGAUGGGAGACCACCUAGGAAUACCAGGUGCUGUAGGCA
rnacentral:rRNA from 1 species